rnacentral:rRNA from 1 species
UGCCUCUAAGAGGGGAAUAACAUUCUGAAAAGAAUGCUAAUACCGCAUAAUAUAUAUUUAUCGCAUGGUAGAUAUAUCAAAGAUUUAUCGCUUAGAGAUGGACUCGCGUCCGAUUAGUUAGUUGGUGAGGUAACGGCUCACCAAGACCGCGAUCGGUAGCCGGACUGAGAGGUUGAACGGCCACAUUGGGACUGAGACACGGCCCAGACUCCUACGGGAGGCAGCAGUGGGGGAUAUUGCGCAAUGGGGGAAACCCUGACGCAGCAACGCCGCGUGAAGGAUGAAGGUCUUCGGAUUGUAAACUUCUUUUAUUGAGGACGAAGAAAGUGACGGUACUUAAUGAAUAAGCUCCGGCUAACUACGUGCCAGCAGCCGCGGUAAUACGUAGGGAGCAAGCGUUGUCCGGAUUUACUGGGUGUAAAGGGUGCGUAGGCGGCUUUGCAAGUCAGAUGUGAAAUCUAUGGGCUCAACCCAUAGCCUGCAUUUGAAACUGCAGAGCUUGAGUGAAGUAGAGGCAGGCGGAAUUCCCCGUGUAGCGGUGAAAUGCGUAGAGAUGGGGAGGAACACCAGUGGCGAAGGCGGCCUGCUGGGCUUUAACUGACGCUGAGGCACGAAAGCGUGGGUAGCAAACAGGAUUAGAUACCCUGGUAGUCCACGCUGUAAACGAUGAUUACUAGGUGUGGGGGGUCUGACCCCUUCCGUGCCGGAG